CAGAAGCAGCGUACACAUGCAAGUCGAGCGGAAACGAUCCCAGCUUGCUGGGAGGCGUCGAGCGGCGGACGGGUGAGUAAUGCAUAGGAAUCUGCCCGAUAGUGGGGGAUAACCUGAGGAAACUCAGGCUAAUACCGCAUACGUCCUACGGGAGAAAGCAGGGGCUCUUCGGACCUUGCGCUAUCGGAUGAGCUUAUGUCGGAUUAGCUGGUUGGUGAGGUAAUGGCUCACCAAGGCGACGAUCCGUAGCUGGUCUGAGAGGAUGAUCAGCCACAUCGGGACUGAGACACGGCCCGAACUCCUACGGGAGGCAGCAGUGGGGAAUAUUGGACAAUGGGGGCAACCCUGAUCCAGCCAUGCCGCGUGUGUGAAGAAGGCCCUCGGGUUGUAAAGCACUUUCAGUGAGGAAGAAAGCUUGUCGGUUAAUACCCGGCAAGGACGACAUCACUCACAGAAGAAGCACCGGCUAACUCCGUGCCAGCAGCCGCGGUAAUACGGAGGGUGCGAGCGUUAAUCGGAAUUACUGGGCGUAAAGCGUGCGUAGGCGGCUUGAUAAGCCGGUUGUGAAAGCCCCGGGCUCAACCUGGGAACGGCAUCCGG
rnacentral:rRNA from 1 species